AUGGCUCAGGACGAACGCUGGCGGCGUGCCUAACACAUGCAAGUCGAACGGAGUGAAACGCUGAAUUGAAGGUAGCUUGCUACUGAAUUUCUGUUUCACUUAGUGGCGACGGGUGAGUAACGCGUGAGUAACCUGCCUUACAGAGGGGGACAACAGUUGGAAACGACUGCUAAUACCGCAUAACGUCUAACCGAGGCAUCUCGGAUAGACCAAAGGAGCAAUCCGCUGUAAGAUGGACUCGCGUCCAAUUAGAUAGUUGGUGGGGUAACGGCCCACCAAGUCGACGAUUGGUAGCCGGACUGAGAGGUUGAACGGCCACAUUGGGACUGAGAUACGGCCCAGACUCCUACGGGAGGCAGCAGUGGGGAAUAUUGGGCAAUGGGCGCAAGCCUGACCCAGCAACGCCGCGUGAAGGAAGAAGGCCUUCGGGUUGUAAACUUCUUUUACCAGGGACGAAUCAAUGACGGUACCUGGAGAAAAAGCCACGGCUAACUACGUG
rnacentral:rRNA from 1 species